GCUUUGGUUGUUUGAUGUGUGCUGGUCUUUUAGUUUGUGCGCGUUAUCCGGCCCGGUAGAAGGAUCUUGCACUAACCCUAAUUCUUAUGUACGCUUCGUCUCUCUCUUUCGUACGGCGACGACUCCUUGACGUCUUAUCUUCCUCUCGCCAUUUGAGCUUGCAAAUUUCUUCAACUGAUUCUUUUGGAUUGAUCAUGAUAAACUAUUGCUUCGCUGAUUUGUUUUUACAUGUCUUAUCUUCCUCUCGCCAUUUGAGCUUGCAAAUUUCUUCAACUGAUUCUUUUGGAUUGAUCAUGAUAAACUAUUGCUUCGCUGAUUUGUUUUUACAUUCUAUCUGAGGGGCAUGAGAGUGUGUGCGAGAAAUAGAAAUGGAGAGAGGAGAGAAUGAAUGGUGGUGAUGCAGUCGGAGCUUCGUCGUUUUAGAUUGGAGAUUCUCUCAGGUAUUUGGUGAAGUCAGUGCUGGAGAAGAAGUUCAAGAAGCAGAUCCAGAAGAAGCACACAUAUGAUGCUGUGAAACCGAAGAUACCAUAAACAGAAAGGAUGAGGAAGAUAGAAAGAAGACAUUAAGAAAUCAAAGAAAUAAUUUUUAAUAAAAGUCUAUAGUGCAUGGAGUUAUUGAAUCGUAGUCAUCAGUACUCAGUUGUGGGCUUACAUGGCUUAUCUCAGCCGAGAAUAUAGGAAAAGCUUUGUUAGACGAUGCUGGUCCAUCCAGAAUAGUAUGGAGAGUGUGAUAGUAUUUGAAGCUUUUAAGAACUGCAGCCCAUAUGACGUGAUGAUUGUGGUUCAUCAUUUGUAUUGGUGCAUCAAGAACCUCCAUCUCUGAUCUCUGUAGCUGUUUCAUAUUGGGAAUUUGAGCUGGGAGGAAGAUUAAGAAGUGAUGCAACUCCUUAUGUGAGACGCCUACCAAUCCAAAACCAACAUGGAGGUUUGUGAGAGGUGGUUAAGGCAGAGGCCAAGCUGGUGGUGGCAAAGGGAAUAAAGGUGGCCAAGCUCUAACAUGGUAUUAGGAAGAACAUGUAGACAACAAUAGCUGAAGGAUUGUUGCAGUUGUGGAUUAUCAGGUGAACACGCUCCUAUCUUCUAGGAACAGUUGGAGCUAAAGUCUUGCUCAGAUUUGUGCAGUGAUCCUUUUCAUAAUUCAGUGGCUACAUGAGAGUGUUUCUGCUGAGUUAGAAUUUAGAGUCUGCAACGAAUCAAGCUUCACAUUCAAGAUUGUGGUUAGAGUUGUUUAUCAUAAAAAAGAAGCAAAAACCAAGUAGUAACAUGUUUCAAAAGUGAUUUACAAAAUGUUCUUUCUAUUGGUUACUAAUACAUGAAUAUGUUUUUUAUUGAUAUAAGAUGUGAUGAUUAUAUUAAAA